UGAAGGUUAGAAUCCUUCCUAGUACA
rnacentral:tRNA from 1 species